GACAGAGGUCCCGAGCGUUAGGCGGAAUCACUGGGCUUAAAGCGUGUGUAGGCGGAUCGUUAAGUGCCUUGUGAAAUCCCUCGGCUUAACCGGGGAACUGCGUCUGAUACUGGAUGGCUUGAGUUUGGGAGAGGGAUGCGGAAUUCCAGGUGUAGCGGUGAAAUGCGUAGAUAUCUGGAGGAACACCGGUGGCGAAGGCGGCAUCCUGGACCAACACUGACACUGAGGAGCGAAAGCCAGGGGAGCAAACGGG
rnacentral:rRNA from 1 species